UUCAUAGAAUAAAAUUCCGUUUGUUUGUAAUCAUUCAAUUGCAUAGAAUAUAUAAGGGUAUAAUUUAGACCUUAACUAUUGUUUUGUAUACAUCAAAGUGAUCGAGGAAGUUUCUAAAGUGGAAGAAAAUCUAUGGCUCGGAAAUGUAUUGGAAUGCUUACAAUGGUGACGAUAGAAUUGUUUAUCCUUAUUCUCAAAGUUCAAACCAACGAUCUCGCCCCUACCUCUUUUCCUCAUUUUUCACUGCCCAUCCAAUAUGUUAAUUCCUCUAAACUUGAUGGAUUUAAAGAACCAAUGUAUGCAUGCUUUGCAGAUUGGCUAAAACAUUGUAUACAAAAUUUGCCACAUCACUACCAUCUUUAUCAUGAAUGUAUUGAUUUAGGUACUACAAUUUGCCACUUUCAAACUGUUAAAGAAGGCGAAAAAAGCUCAUCUCUUUCAGAAUGCUUCAUUGAAUGCCAAAAGCAUAAAGAUCCAAGUGCUAGCACUAUGUAUUGUUACUCAGUUUGUUUAGAAAGGCUUGUAUAAGGCUCAGAUGUGGUUUAUUUGCAGAAUUAUACCCAACUUAAGGUUCACUUGGAGGCUUCUCAAAACCCGUGCAAGAGACAAUCUUGCUAGAUAGUAGUUUUCAAUUGUCUCUUAUUUCAAAAUAAUGUUGUUUUCAAUUGUCUCUUGUACGUAAAGUAUUUAAAUAAAUUCUUAUUGUUAUUACUAAAUAUUAUCUCAUAUAUGAAUUAAUAAUUACCGCCCUCUUA